rnacentral:rRNA from 2 species
AGCAGCCGCGGUAAUUCCAGCUCCAAUAGCGUAUAUUAAAGUUGUUGCAGUUAAAAAGCUCGUAGUUGAAUUUCGGGAUUGACACAUCGGUCGUGCCUUAAGGGGUAUGAACUGGUGUAGUCAGUUUCUCACCUUCUGGAGAACCGCGAUGUCCUUAAUUGGGUGCCGCGAGGAACCAGGACCUUUACUUUGAAAAAAUUAGAGUGUUUAAAGCAGGCAUUUUGCUUGAAUACAUUAGCAUGGAAUAAUAAAAUAGGACGGAUGGUUCUAUUUUGUUGGUUUCUAGGAUCACCGUAAUGAUUAAUAGGGAUAGUUGGGGGCAUUAGUAUUCAAUUGUCAGAGGUGAAAUUCUUGGAUUUAUUGAAGACUAACUACUGCGAAAGCAUUUGCCAAGGAUGUUUUCAUUAAUCAAGAACGAAAGUUAGGGGAUCGAAGACGAUCAGAUACCGUCGUAGUCUUAACCAUAAACUAUGCCGACUAGGAAUCAGACGAUGUUAAUUUUUUAAUGACUCGUUUGGCACCUUACG